UACGUAGGUGGCAAGCGUUGUCCGGAAUUAUUGGGCGUAAAGCGCGCGCAGGUGGUUUCUUAAGUCUGAUGUGAAAGCCCACGGCCCAACCGUGGAGGGUCAUUGGAAACUGGGGAACUUGAGUGCAGGAGAGAAGAGUGGAAUUCCACGUGUAGCGGUGAAAUGCGUAGAGAUGUGGAGGAACACCAGUGGCGAAGGCGACUCUUUGGCCUGUAACUGACACUGAGGCGCGAAAGCGUGGGGAGCAAACAGG
rnacentral:rRNA from 1 species